AUACUUACCUGGCAGGGAGAUACCAUGAUCUGGAGGGUGGUUUUCCCAGGGUGAGGCUCACCCAUUGCACUGCGGAUGCGCUGACCCCUGCGAUUUCCCCAACUGUGGGAAACUCGACUGCAUAAUUUGUGGUAGUGGGGGACUGCCUCGCCCUCUCCCCUG
ensembl:snRNA U1 U1 spliceosomal RNA